rnacentral:rRNA from 1 species
AACGAACGCUGGCGGCAUGCCUAACACAUGCAAGUCGAACGAAUGGUUUCGGCUAUUAGUGGCGCACGGGUGAGUAACGCGUGGGAAUCUGCCCAGCAGUGGGGGAUAACCUCUGGAAACGGAGGCUAAUACCGCAUACGCCCCUCGGGGGAAAGGCUUGCUGCUGCUGGAGGAGCCCGCGUCGGAUUAGGUAGUUGGUGGGGUAACGGCCUACCAAGCCUGUGAUCCGUAGCUGGUCUGAGAGGAUGAUCAGCCACACUGGGACUGAGACACGGCCCAGACUCCUACGGGAGGCAGCAGUGGGGAAUAUUGGACAAUGGGCGCAAGCCUGAUCCAGCAAUGCCGCGUGAGUGAUGAAGGCCUC